rnacentral:rRNA from 1 species
UGGGGAAUUUUGGACAAUGGGCGAAAGCCUGAUCCAGCCAUGCCGCGUGCAGGAUGAAGGCCUUCGGGUUGUAAACUGCUUUUGUACGGAACGAAAAGACUCCUUCUAAUAAAGGGGGUCCAUGACGGUACCGUAAGAAUAAGCACCGGCUAACUACGUGCCAGCAGCCGCGGUAAUACGUAGGGUGCGGGCGUUAAUCGGAAUUACUGGGCGUAAAGCGUGCGCAGGCGGUUAUAUAAGACAGUUGUGAAAUCCCCGGGCUCAACCUGGGAACUGCAUCUGUGACUGUAUAGCUAGAGUACGGUAGAGGGGGAUGGAAUUCCGCGUGUAGCAGUGAAAUGCGUAGAUAUGCGGAGGAACACCGAUGGCGAAGGCAAUCCCCUGGACCUGUACUGACGCUCAUGCACGAAAGCGUGGGGAGCAAACA